ensembl:miRNA Mir7675 microRNA 7675
CUUAAGAAAGAAUGAAGAGCAAGCUGUGUUUUGGGCUCGUUUCGUUUGUUCGUGUCUC